CCUACGGGAGGCAGCAGUGGGGAAUCUUGCGCAAUGGGCGAAAGCCUGACGCAGCCAUGCCGCGUGAAUGAUGAAGGUCUUAGGAUUGUAAAAUUCUUUCACCGGGGACGAUAAUGACGGUACCCGGAGAAGAAGCCCCGGCUAACUUCGUGCCAGCAGCCGCGGUAAUACGAAGGGGGCUAGCGUUGCUCGGAAUUACUGGGCGUAAAGGGAGCGUAGGCGGAUAGUUUAGUCAGAGGUGAAAGCCCAGGGCUCAACCUUGGAAUUGCCUUUGAUACUGGCUAUCUUGAGUACGGAAGAGGUAUGUGGAACUCCGAGUGUAGAGGUGAAAUUCGUAGAUAUUCGGAAGAACACCAGUGGCGAAGGCGACAUACUGGUCCGUUACUGACGCUGAGGCUCGAAAGCGUGGGGAGCAAACAGGAUUAGAUACCCUGGUAGUCCACGCUGUAAACGAUGAGUGCUAGUUGUCGGCAUGCAUGCAUGUCGGUGACGCAGCUACGCAUAAGACACCUCCGCCGUCGGGAGGUACGGUCGCGAGAAUUAAACUAACAAAGAAGUUAGACGGCGNGAGACGUGCCGACGGACGACGACGAGGGAGGAGG
rnacentral:rRNA from 1 species